GAUGAACGCUGGCGGCGUGCCUAAUAUAUGCAAGUCGAGCGAACAGACGAGGAGCUUGCUCCUCUGACGUUAGCGGCGUACGGGUGAGUAACACGUGGAUAACCUACCUUGAAGACUGGGAUAACUUCGGGAAACCGGAGCUAAUACCGGUUAAUCUAUUGAACCGCAGUGUUCACUAGUUAAAAACGUUUUUGCUGUCACUUAUAUAUGGAUCCGCGCCGCAUUAGCUAGUUGGUAAGGUAACGGCUUACCAAGGCAACGAUGCGUACCCGACCUGCGAGGGUGAUCGGCCACACUGGAACUGAGACACGGUCCAGACUCCUACGGGAGGCAGCAGUAGGGAAUCUUCCGCAAUGGGCGAAAGCCUGACGGAGCAACGCCGCGUGAGUGAUGAAGGUCUUCGGAUCGUAAAACUCUGUUAUUAGGGAAGAACAAAUGUGUAAGUAACUAUGCACGUCUUGACGGUAACUAAUCAGAAAGCCACGGCUAACUACGUG
rnacentral:rRNA from 1 species